rnacentral:rRNA from 1 species
UACAGGGGGUGCAAACGUUGCUCGGAAUCAUUGGGCGUAAAGCGCACGUAGGCGGUUUGUUAUGUCGGAUGUGAAAGCCCUCGGCUCAACCGAGGAAGUGCGUUCGAAACUGCAGAGCUUGAGUGCCGGAGAGGGUGGCGGAAUUCCCCAAGUAGAGGUGAAAUUCGUAGAUAUUGGGAGGAACACCAGAGGCGAAGGCGACGACCUGGAAGGUAACUGACACUGAGCAGCGAAAGCGUGGGGAGCAAACAGG